rnacentral:rRNA from 1 species
GACGAACGCUGGCGGCGUGCUUAACACAUGCAAGUCGAACGGAAAGGCCCUGCUUUUGUGGGGUGCUCGAGUGGCGAACGGGUGAGUAACACGUGAGUAACCUGCCCUUGACUUUGGGAUAACUUCAGGAAACUGGGGCUAAUACCGGAUAGGAGCUCCUGCUGCAUGGUGGGGGUUGGAAAGUUUCGGCGGUCGGGGAUGGAUGCGCGGCUUAUCGGCUUGUUGGUGGGGUAGUGGCUUACCAAGGCUUUGACGGGUAGCCGGCCUGAGAGGGUGACCGGCCACAUUGGGACUGAGAUACGGCCCAGACUCCUACGGGAGGCAGCAGUGGGGAAUAUUGCACAAUGGGCGGAAGCCUGAUGCAGCAACGCCGCGUGCGGGAUGACGGCCUUCGGGUUGUAAACCGCUUUCGCCUGUGACGAAGCGUGAGUGACGGUAAUGGGUAAAGAAGCACCGGCUAACUACGUG